UACGUAGGGUGCGAGCGUUGUCCGGAAUUAUUGGGCGUAAAGGGCUCGUAGGCGGUUUGUCGCGUCGGGAGUGAAAUCCACUGGCUUAACUGGUGGCUUGCUUUCGAUACGGGCAGACUGGAGGUAUGCAGGGGAGAACGGAAUUCCUGGUGUAGCGGUGAAAUGCGCAGAUAUCAGGAAGAACACCCGUGGCGAAAGCGGCUCUCUGGGACGGUACUGACGCUGAGACGCGAAAGCGUGGGGAGCGAACAGG
rnacentral:rRNA from 1 species